GACGAACGCUGGCGGCGUGCUUAACACAUGCAAGUCGAACGGAAAGGCCCUGCUUUUGUGGGGUGCUCGAGUGGCGAACGGGUGAGUAACACGUGAGUAACCUGCCCUUGACUUUGGGAUAACUUCAGGAAACUGGGGCUAAUACCGGAUAGGAGCUCCUGCUGCAUGGGGGGGGUUGGAAAGUUUCGGCGGUUGGGGAUGGACUCGCGGCUUAUCAGCUUGUUGGUGGGGUAGUGGCUUACCAAGGCUUUGACGGGUAGCCGGCCUGAGAGGGUGACCGGCCACAUUGGGACUGAGACACGCACCAGACUCCUACGGGAGGCAGCAGUGGGGAAUCUUGCACAAUGGGCGGAAGCCUGAUGCAGCGACGCCGCGUGCGGGAUGACGGCCUUCGGGUUGUAAACCGCUUUCGCCUGUGACGAAGCGUGAGUGACGGUAAUGGGUAAAGAAGCACCGGCUAACUACGUG
rnacentral:rRNA from 1 species